ACGAACGCUGGCGGCGUGCUUCACACAUGCAAGUCGAACGGUGAAGGGACUGGUUUUGCUGGUCCUGGAUGAGUGGCGAACGGGUGAGUAACACGUGAGUAACCUGCCCCCUUCUUCUGGAUAACCGCAUGAAAGUGUGGCUAAUACGGGAUAUUCUGGGUCUGUCGCAUGGUGGGCCUGGGAAAGAUUGCGCCUUUUUUGGUGUUUUUGGUGGGGGAUGGGCUCGCGGCCUAUCAGCUUGUUGGUGGGGUGAUGGCCUACCAAGGCGGUGACGGGUAGCCGGCCUGAGAGGGUGGACGGUCACACUGGGACUGAGACACGGCCCAGACUCCUACGGGAGGCAGCAGUGGGGAAUAUUGCACAAUGGGCGCAAGCCUGAUGCAGCGACGCCGCGUGAGGGAUGGAGGCCUUCGGGUUGUGAACCUCUUUCGCCAGUGGAGCAGGCCUGCCUCUUUGUGUGGGUGGGUUGACGGUAGCUGGAGAAGAAGCGCCGGCUAACUACGUG
rnacentral:rRNA from 1 species